rnacentral:rRNA from 1 species
AUUGAACGCUGGCGGCAGGCCUAACACAUGCAAGUCGAGCGGCAGCACGGGUACUUGUACCUGGUGGCGAGCGGCGGACGGGUGAGUAAUGCCUAGGAAUCUGCCUGGUAGUGGGGGAUA